rnacentral:rRNA from 1 species
UACGAAGGGGGCUAGCGUUGUUCGGAUUUACUGGGCGUAAAGCGCACGUAGGCGGAUCGAUCAGUCAGGGGUGAAAUCCCAGAGCUCAACUCUGGAACUGCCUUUGAUACUGUCGAUCUGGAGUAUGGAAGAGGUGAGUGGAAUUCCGAGUGUAGAGGUGAAAUUCGUAGAUAUUCGGAGGAACACCAGUGGCGAAGGCAGCUCACUGGUCCAUUACUGACGCUGAGGUGCGAAAGCGUGGGGAGCAAACAGG